GGGCGAGGGUAUACCUUGCAGUCGAGCGGUAAGGCCCUUCGGGGUACACGAGCGGCGAACGGGUGAGUAACACGUGAGCAACCUGCCCCUGACUCCGGGAUAAGCCGGGGAAACCCGGUCUAAUACCGGAUGGGACGCCUCGUCGCAUGGCGGGGUGUGGAAAGGUGUCUUUCCGGUCAGGGAGGGGCUCGCGGCCUAUCAGCUUGUUGGUGGGGUGAAGGCCUACCAAGGCGAUUACGGGUAGCCGGCCUGAGAGGGCGACCGGCCACACUGGGACUGAGACACGGCCCAGACUCCUACGGGAGGCAGCAGUGGGGAAUAUUGCGCAAUGGGCGGAAGCCUGACGCAGCGACGCCGCGUGGGGGAUGACGGCCUUCGGGUUGUAAACCUCUUUUACCACCGACGCAGGCCCGCGCUUCUGUGCGGGUUGACGGUAGGUGGGGAAUAAGGACCGGCCAACUACGUGCCAGCAGCCGCGGUAAUACGUAGGGUCCGAGCGUUGUCCGGGAAUUAUUGGGCGUAAAGAGCUCGUAGGUGGCGUGUCGCGUCUGCUGUGUAAGUCCGGGGCUUAACUCCGGUUUUGCAGUGGAUACGGGCAUGCUAGAGGUAGGCAGGGGAGACUGGAAAUUCCUGGUGUAGCGGUGAAAUGCGCAGAUAUCAGGAGGAACACCGGUGCGAAGGCGGGUCUCUGGGCCUUACCUGACGCUGAGGAGCGAAAGCGGUGGGGGAGCGAACAGGAUUAGAUACCCUGGUAGUCCACCGCUGUAAACGUGGGCGCUAGGUGUGGGGACUUCAACGGUUCCGUGCGGUAGCCUAACGCAAUUAAGGCGCGCCUCCUCGCCCUGGGG
rnacentral:rRNA from 1 species